AACUUCUUUACAGUAAGGAGAAUGGAGCACUGUAACAGUGGAUACUCCACUGCCCAGAGAGGCUGUGGAGUAUCCAUCCGUGGAGGUAUUCAGACCUGUCUGAAUGCCUACCUGUGCAACCUGUUGCAUGGUAUCUGCUUUAGAAGAGGUUGAACUCAGUGAUCUCUUGAGGCCCCUACCAACCCCUGCAAUUCUGUGAUUUAUGAUGAGGUAGGCUGAGUAGAAUAGAUUGGUUCUUUUAUUUUUUCUUUACAAAAAUUAAACUUGAACUCUCCACUGAAACUAGGGUUGCAGGCUUUGCACACAAGAUGACAAUUUAGUGCUGGAGAUGUUGAAUCAGGAUUCUAGUUAAAAGGUUCAAGUUCAGCACUGAGAUAAAUUUCCUUAGGCAAGGUGCCUUUUCUUCAAUCUCCCACUUAUUAUGAAGGGAAAAUAUUUUCUUUUUUCAUUUAUCUGACUUGUUUAUACUAUAAGCUCCUUGCAAUAUUAUUUAUCUCCAAUAAUAGAUGAGUCAAACCCUUGCAAAAUGGAACUAUAUAUCUGAAUAAAUUCAUAUGAAGAGCUGGGUAAGAGACAGCUUUCUGCCCUGAAGAUAUUUUCAACAUUUUUAACAAGGAAAUAGAAGCUGUCUUCAAGAUACUUUUUUUGUGAAGAAAGGAAAAAAUAAUAAUAAUAAUAAUAAUAAUAAAAACACAAUAUAUGAGAACUUUAAAUGUCUUAAAUUCAUUGUAACACUGAAGUAAGCUGGAAUGUAGGAAAUGGAAAUUCAGGGCAAAGCAGAAAGCAGGUUCUUGAAACAGAACUGUCAGCAUCAGAAUUGUAUGUGCAUUUUUAUAACUGUGUCACACAUGGUUGGGUCUGAUAUACCUCUGAGAAUAGGAUUCACCAUCCAACUUCGGAAAAAACCAAACCAAACCAACCAAACAAACAAAAACAACAACAACAACAACAACAUAAAUCUGGGUAGCUUAUUGAAAUGUUACAUAGCAUCUUUCAAAAAGGUUCGACAUCAAAUUGUUUGAUCAAGAAUCCAUGUUUGGUAUAAAAAUAUUAGAAAGUUUGAAAAUGUUCCUUUCUCCCCCCCAUUGUUUUUAAAUGCUAAGCUUUUAAAUACAUUUUAAAGCAUUUUUACAGUUUUUUUUUUUUUUUAGAUGUUCCCCACAAUAUUUGUUGAUGCAUUUAUCAAGUCUAAAACACAAAACUCAGACUAUUUUCUAUUAUUUAUGUUGGGAUGUGGCAAUAACUGUCUACAAUUGAGAAAAUGAUGGUUUUUUUGCCUUGCUUGUAUGUUUUGUAAAGCUGUCUGAAAGUAUUUAUUUUAAAAUCAUCACUGCAGAGCAACGUCCUAAAAAUGCUACAUCUCAAAAAGAAUCUUGUGAUCCAAUGACAGCAAGUGAAUAUAAGUAGGAAAUAACAUCUCACUGCUUUAGCAAUCAAUCAGUGUUGUUAAUAAAUAUCAUAUUUACAGUG
ensembl:lncRNA